rnacentral:tRNA from 1 species
CUUUUUUAUAGUGUAAAUAAACACAUUACAUUUUCAUUGUAAAGCUGAAGGUAUCUUCUUCUAAAUAC